CCUACGGGGGGCAGCAGUGGGGAAUAUUGGGCAAUGGGCGCAAGCCUGACCCAGCAACGCCGCGUGAAGGAAGAAGGCUUUCGGGUUGUAAACUUCUUUUAUCAGGGACGAAGCAAGUGACGGUACCUGAUGAAUAAGCCACGGCUAACUACGUGCCAGCAGCCGCGGUAAUACGUAGGUGGCAAGCGUUAUCCGGAUUUACUGGGUGUAAAGGGCGUGUAGGCGGGAGUGCAAGUCAGAUGUGAAAACUAUGGGCUCAACCCAUAGCCUGCAUUUGAAACUGUACUUCUUGAGUGCAGGAGGGGCAACCGGAAUUCCUAGUGUAGCGGUGGAAUGCGUAGAUAUUAGGAGGAACACCAGUGGCGAAGGCGGGUUGCUAGACUGUAACUGACACUGAGGCACGAAAGCGUGGGGAGCAAACAGGAUUAGAUACCCCAGUAGUC
rnacentral:rRNA from 1 species